rnacentral:lncRNA from 1 species
CAACCAUUCCACAAGUCUCUAGGAAGUUCCAAAUUUUUCCACGUUUCUGUCUUUUUCUGAGCACUCCAAAUUGUUAAAGCCUCUGCCUGUUACCCAGUUCCAAAGUCAUUUUCCUUAUUGUCUUGGCUAUUAGCAUUCAGCUCGUCUUUACUUAUGAUGCAGAUUUCUGCAGCAGGCUUGAAUUCCUCCCCAGAAAAUGGGUUUUUCAUUUCUACCACAGGGUCAGGCUGCAAAUUUUUCAAACCUUUUCCAGUUGUCUUUAUAGCAGUGCCCCACUCCCAGUACCAAUUCUCUGUAUUAGUCUGUUUUUACAUUGAUAUAAAGGUACUCCCUAAUAAAUUAGAAUAGGAUAAAUAUGAACAUUUAGAAGACUGGAUUGUUAUAAAUUGUUUUAUUAACAUGCAUGUGUAGAUGGAUAUUUUCAGGACCUAGAAAUGAUGGGGGGGAGGGUUAUGCAAUAAGUUAAAUUAUAAUAAAAAAUCAUUUGGGCACAAUUUGAACAAAAAUGCUACUAUUCACUUAUCAUUAUGUAAUGCCUAAGGUUCUUGCCUAGCCACGCCAAAGAAUUUGUGUGGCAGCUGACCGUGGUGAGGGAUAGAGACACAGACCGAGAGAGAAAAAGGCUGUAGGCUUUAUUGAGCAGAUUGAAAGGACAAAGCUUCCACAGUGUGGAAGGGGUCCCGAGCGGGUAGCCAGAGUUAGAUUAUGUGACUGCCUUUUAAACUCUUUAAGGCCGGAAAUACGUGUGGCGAGAUGUUACCAGAGCGAGAAACAAAGGCAAUUAACCGUUUGUAACAUGUCUUAGAUCUUGAGGAAAACUGGAAUUGCAACUUAGGUUUUAUCUACUUUAUGAACUUGCAGCAGCAUGGCAAAGGAGACGGGAUCUUACAGGACUUUGUUACAAAGUAUGUUUUCAAGGAAUUGGAAUUGGGAGGAUAGAUAAGGUCCGCUGGUCACAGAAAAACAGGCAGUUAACGUUCCUUUUACUUUAGUUUCGGGGGAGGCGGAAGAGAAAGAGAGAGAGAGGACACAGGGAAACUUACAGCAAAAGUUUCGAUGUUUAUAGCUUUCUUGGGGAAGAAAACACAUGCACAGAUCCUGGUGUUAGGAAUAUUUUAAGCAUGUAUCUUCAAUAUUAUUCAUCCAGGACCGAAGUAAGUCCUGAUGCAGGAAAUGAGUGACUUUCACAGCUUUCUGAGCCCCUACUCAACCCAGGAAGUCCAGCUGGCACCUCCUCUGGAUCACAAGGUUUGAGAAGUGCCAAAAAACAGCUGUUUGGAGUAAAGGAGAUGAACGAACAACAUGUUUGCAGGCAAAGGUACUCACCGCUACCCUGCGUUCCUGCAUAGACUUCCAUCAGAGAGAACAUGUUAGGAAAGUUAAAUUGCAGUAAGCACAUCACAGCAAUGACGAGGACAGGUACUUUUCUGGGAAACACUGGAAGACAGCUGGAGAGGAUUCUGCUGCUGUGAAAGCACCUAAAGCCUCCUUGACUCAGCCUCACAUCCUAUCUUCAAGAAAACAUCAUAUGGUUAUUAUAUAAACCUCUUACGGGAUUUCUAAGGUUAAUUUCAAUAUAUAAAUGGCUACUCAACAGAAUCAAGGUAAUUAGAGUUUGCUUAUAUUCAAAAAGAGUUGCAAAAUGUCUCCUAGAAAACAGAAUUAACUAUAAGAACCUGAAAUUUGCAUUUCAUAACUUUAAGGAGUUUAAAUUAUCAAGAUUAAUAUUGCACUAAAAAGUUUGUGCAUUCAUGCGUGAUCGAAUAUGAAAACACAUGACCUGUGAACUGAGCAAAAGGUAUGCUUUCUGAAGCAUAUACUCUGUGUGAUUAGGUCACUGAUGCCAUUGAAAUAUGUAGAUUUAAUGUUAAAGCUACUGGUUCUCUGAGUGUUUUCAUGAUCUCACCAGAUUUUUUUUUUUGUACCAUUCACUCUUUUCUAUUUAAAAGACUUUCAGUCGUAGUCUAAAAAAAAUUCCAAACACUUUAGUUCUGGAAUUUCACUUAUUCUCUACAAGUUAUUAUUACUACAAUUUAGUACAAACUCUCAUUUUCAUAGCUUACUAUUCCAACUUCUCCUAGUAUGUAACCCUUAUGCUCUAUAACUGAAAACAUUCUGGUAAAAGGAAUCAGCAUGCUAAUACUAUUUUAAACACACAUCCUCAUUCUCUUUCCUAUUAUUCAUAAAACUAGAAAAAUAAAAAAACACUUUUCUUCCAGCAGUGGAUAGAAGAAAAAGAAAUUCAAAUUUACAAUUUAAUUGUCAUGGGUCACUCACUUGCAGUGACUUGCUCUAGUUGCUUCUGUUGUUUUAAUGCUAAGGUAAGAUGAUGAAGAUCUGUUUUGAGUAAAGUAAGCUCCAAAUAUGAGCUUUGCACUACUACCAUUCUUAAUUUGUGGAUCAUAUCAAUGUUAGGAGUUGAAGGUUUAAUUUGCAUUUAUUUAAAUAAAUUAUCCCUAGACUAUAACUUAUUUUCCAAAUGUCUCAUUCUUUCUCUCAUGUUUAUCUUUUUUCUUGACAUUCAUUUCUUAUACAUGCAUUCAUCAAUAUUAGCCAUUCUAUGUGGAUAUACUAAUUCAUAUUUACUUCAAUCCAUUAAUAUUUGCAUUCUAAUAAAAUUCAUUGCUUCUCUACAAUAGAUAGUUCAAGCAGAACUUAUAGUUUUGGUCAUUAAUUUCUAGCUACAGAUUGCAGAAGAGAAGCAGCACAUAAUAAAGUAUAUCCUAGUCAUGUUUGCAUAUAAAUACAUACUACAUUGCACAGAAUAAUUGUUACCCUCCUACAAAAGCCCAAAAUAAAUUAAAGAUAUAAAAUCACUGAUAUAAUUCAGUUUUGUAUCUCAAUCACAAUCCAGUUUCUUUCUUUUUCUGAUCUUAUAGCCUGGGGGUUCUCAAAAGAAAACGUUUUAGAAUAAAAUUUUAUUUUCUAUAAACCUAAGGAUAUAGUGCACAUUCAUUGAUAGAACAGGCAUCAACUUCUGUUUCUCUGAUCUCAUUUCACUAGGGCUUACAUUUUCAGCCAUAUCACUAGGCAGAACUGUGAAAGCAAUUCUGUAUUAAUGUUCAAAGAUGCAUUUUUUUUAUUAGAAAAGAAACACAUGUUUUAUACUUAGCCCUAUAUCCUGUAUCUUCCCCUCCCUUCCUCUUUUGGUUUUUCUUGUCCUACAAUAAAAAGCACUAGAAUAUCCACUGGAUGUAUUGUUUAUAAAUUAAGUAACAUAUUGUUCAUAUAAUAAAACGAUUCUCUUCCCCACAUGAUUUCAUCACCACUGUCUCUUCCUAAGUGUGACAAUGUCUUCUGCUUACUUCAACAUUAAAUAUUUUAUAUUUACUUCUAGAUUAAUAAACUGUAGACCCUACCAAUUGUCUCUAUAGAAGAUUACUAGUUUGCUCAUUUAUGUAAUACUCAUAUUCCCCUUUCAUGUACCUUCCUUAAAUUUUAAUAGUUGCAUUUAUCCUUCCAAGUAGCAUUCAAACUUUAAAUAUAAAUACAUCUUCAUCACUUGUUCCCUCAUUUACACAAUACUUCCUAAUUAUUUACUACAUAAGAGAGUGGUCUUAUAACUAUAUUUUUCUCUAUAUCUCUUGUAUCAACUUUCAAACUGGAAUUUUUGACAGAUACCACUUCUAUAUAUAG